UCCUUCUUUUCCGUCGGCGGCGUGUGGAGUGUGCGAUAUUCAUCAGAGCUUGCAUGGGCGGCCAGGCGGAUCCUACCUAGCUGGGGCGGGUAGCGAGGACCUCGCUGCUGUGCCGCUGCCUUGCAGGUCGAUGGCCGCCGCCGAGCGGAGCGGAGCGGAGCCCAACUGCUGCCGGAGCAGCGCCCGGCGUGCAGGCCGCAACGGGUGUGCGCAUGCGCGGCCCGGCUGCGUCUCCGGGCAGAAUGGUGACUUGAGCUGCAAGCCUGGGCACUUGAGUAUAUCAGAGGAGUAAGACUUCUACACAGCAUGGAUAACCAGCUCAUGAGACGGAGCUCCUGAAGCUUUUUCCAAUGGAUUUGAGGUGAUACCUCCAAGAGAGAGCAGCUCUCUGGCAGUGGAAAUCCUCAGAGGUGUUCAGUGCAAGCCUCUUCAUCCGAGACAGAAGAAUUCCCCGAGUAUCAAUCCAAGUGAGCCUGUGGAUUGAUCUUGGUUUUUUUGUUUGUUUGUUUGACAAUAAGUACUUCUGAAUGUUUCUGAUCACUCUAAAAUACCUUUUUGUAAAAAGCAUUAAAAUGCAUUGUAUCAGCCUGAAGCAUACUAUUUUGGCUUCACAAAUACUUACCUAUUAAAAUUCUCAUUGUGCUCUA